rnacentral:lncRNA from 1 species
AAAAGGAUUCUCGAAAUAGAACUCUUUUCCCCCUACCCCCAAAACGAAAGUAGAAUAGCUCAGCAAAUCACUCCCAUUUCUUUCUUAUUUUCCCGGCGUCUUAAUUAUCACCAGCGGGAUGGACAGGAAGAAAAGUCUGGAAGACACAUUUAGGAACUUUGUCAUCGAUGCAGUUGUUUCCUGAUAACGGAUGGAGUGCCUGCUGUAUUGAGAUUAUGGGUGUGGGCCACAGUGCCCAGCCAGAUGUAUCUUCUAAUCCACCAAGGGAAUCUGAACUGUUAAUUAAUUGUUAAUUGUUAAAACAUUGCUGGGCAAAAUAGCCCCGACAUGCCGCUUGAAGCACCUGGGCAGCUCAGACAUGAACUUCCUAAACCAUGAAAAACAAGACAACAAAGAGGAUGGAAGACAGGGAGGAAAAAGUCAUCAAAGGAAAGCAGCGAGAAACCGAGAAACUGGUGUGUACUGGAUCAGAGGGCAGUGGUUUGCGCUGUGGCCUCAGAAUAACUUGCUGGACUUCUACUUUGGUGUGCGUUUUACUUUGUUGUUAGGAAGAAUCACAACCUCUCAAUUCUUUGCACGCAAGACCAGAAAUCAGAACUCUUCACAAUUUAGUCACAGAUAUACAGGGAAGCAUUGAAGCAAUUGUCAUGUAGCCAUUUAAUCUUCAUAACUGCUUCUUUGGGAGACUUUACAGCAACAGUGUAAGAGUGUGAUAUGAUCUUACAUUAGCCUGGAACGCAACAAAACAAGAGGAAAAGAAGUUCUGCGUAAGUCAGUACUCAUGCUCACAGGUGCUUUCUGAUGUACGAAAGUACAGCUUUGGAAAUCAUUCACUAGCUUUGUGCA